CCGAGUACAUAAAAUCCAGAUAAUCCAUUAAUUCCUUAACAUACUCACAGUGAUCAAUGAGAGGAAGUAUUUCACCGUCAAUUGAGUUCCUCAGCUGUAAGAAUAUGCGGGCAUCAUCUGUUAACCAAGCUUUCUUGGUAUUGUCAUCUAGAGGAUUAUCUGUUAGGAGAUAAGCCUUGUUGAUGCUUCGUAAAUACACACGUACAGUCUUGCUCCAUCCACGAAAAUUGGACCAAUUUAAUUUUUGAUCCGUAAUUUUUGUCAUUGCCGAAAUGAUAUCAGUAGUGACAAAAACUGAUUUGGUACCACUCAUGAUUACAACAGUA
rnacentral:lncRNA from 1 species